rnacentral:rRNA from 1 species
CAGCCGCCGCGGGAAUACGGAGGGUGCAAGCGUUAAUCGGAAUUACUGGGCGUAAAGCGUGCGUAGGCGGCUUCUUAAGUCGGAUGUGAAAUCCCUGAGCUUAACUUAGGAAUUGCAUUCGAUACUGGGAAGCUAGAGUAUGGGAGAGGAUGGUAGAAUUCCAGGUGUAGCGGUGAAAUGCGUAGAGAUCUGGAGGAAUACCGAUGGCGAAGGCAGCCAUCUGGCCUAAUACUGACGCUGAGGUACGAAAGCAUGGGGAGCAAACAGGAUUAGAUACCCCAGUAGUCCCUGUCUCUUAUAC